rnacentral:lncRNA from 1 species
CGUCACGAGAGGGCGAGUGUAGCGGCGUGUGUAUUGAUACGUCAUGAUAGAAAUUAACCAAUAGUAUAGCUGCUUACAUACAGGAUGGAUACGAAAUCGAAUGACAAUGAUCCAUGUUGCGGAUAUUGGCCUUUUUUGUUGACAUGAUUUCAAUUAAACAUGAGCCUUCUGUUACAGUUUGAGUCAUUGAGACUAAUCCCCUUUUCCUCAAGUGGCAUUCUUCACCAUUAAGAAUCUCUGGAAAGCUGUUAAAGAAAAAACAUAAAUUCAUUUAUAGCAGAUGCUUCCCUGGCCACCAUUCACUCCUGAUCUCUCACCAAUCGAACACAUUUGGGAUGUAAUUUGGAGGCCAUUUGCAGACCUUGCCAUUGCUGUGUUCUGAAAACGAACUGUGGCAAAUGGUUAAUAGGAAAUGGAAAACUGUUCCUCAGAACACCAUCCAUAGUCUCAUUGACUCUGUACCUAGAGAUGUAUUUCUUCGUGUAUCGCCAUCCAAAGUGAUCUGAGCCGACGCUGUUCUCGCUGUGUAUUAUGCAUAUCAUUUCGAAAUAAAGAUCACUUAUGGUUC